GAGAUAGCUGGUUCUCCCCGAAAUAGCUUUAGGGCUAGCGUCGGAAAGAACCUUAGUGAAGGUAGAGCACUGAAUGUGUGAUGGCCCCAUCCCGGGGUACUGAAUACAAUCAAACUGCGAAUGUCAUUAAGGAUGUCCGGCAGUCAGACUGUGAGUGAUAAGGUCCAUGGUCAAGAGGGAAACAGCCCAGACCGCCAGUUAAGGUCCCAAAAUACAGGCUAAGUGGAAAAGGAUGUGGGGAUGCCCAGACAACUAGGAGGUUGGCUCAGAAGCAGCCAUCCUUUAAAGAGUGCGUAACAGCUCACUAGUCGAGUGACCCUGCGCCGAAAAUGUACCGGGGCUAAGCCUGAUACCGAAACUGCGGAUUGUAGGAAACUAUAGUGGUAGGGGAGCGUUGUAUACGAGCAGAAGCCGUACCGUGAGGAGCGGUGGAUUGUAUAGAAGUGAGAAUGCCGGUGUGAGUAGCGAGAUGUAGGUGAGAAUCCUACACACCGAAAGCCCAAGGAUUCCAGGGGAAGGUUCGUCCGCCCUGGGUAAGUCGGGACCUAACGCGAGGCCGAAAGGCGUAGUGGAUGGAAAGCAGGCGAAAGAUUCCUGCACCCGUAUAUGGAGCGAAGGAGUGACGGAGACGGAUAGUGUGACCCUCUUAAUGGAUUGAGGGCGAAGCGAAGCGGCUGGUUACCAGGCAAAUCCGGUAACCAAAAGGCUAGAGCGUGACAGGUAAGCGAAAUCCAAGGAAAGUAGCGAAGCACAUGAUGACGGCUUCCAGGAAAAGCUUCUGGCAAUGCAUAUGCGGCCCGUACCAAAACCGACACAGGUGGGCAGGGAGAGAAUCCCGAGGUGAGCGAGAGAACUGUUGCCAAGGAACUCGGCAAAAUGACUCCGUAAGUUAGCGAGAAGGAGUGCUUAAGCAAUUAAGCCGCAGUGAAGAGGCCCAAGCGACUGUUUAACUAAAACACAGCUCUCUGCGAAGUCGCAAGACGAAGUAUAGGGGGUGACACCUGCCCGGUGCUGGAAGGUUAAGAGGAUCUGUUAAGAGCAAUCUGAAGCAGUGAUCCGAAGCCCCAGUGAACGGCGGCCGUAACUAUAACGGUCCUAAGGUAGCGAAAUUCCUUGUCAGGGAAGUUCUGACCCGCACGAAAGGUGUAACGAUUUGGGCACUGUCUCGGCAGCAGACUCGGUGAAAUCUUAGUACCUGUGAAAAUGCAGGUUACCCGCAACUAGACGGAAAGACCCCAUGGAGCUUUACUGCAGCCUGAUAUUGAAUUCUGGUCAUACAUGUACAGGAUAGGUGGGAGACAAAGAGACGUGCACGCCAGUGUACGAGGAGUCGACGUUGGGAUACCACUCUUGUGUGACCGGGGUUCUAACCUGGUAUCGAGAACAGGUACGGGGAGAGUGUCAGGUGGGCAGUUUGACUGGGGCGGUCGCCUCCCAAAGAGUAACGGAGGCGCCCAAAGGUACGCUCAGAUUGGAUGGAAACCAAUCGUCGAGUGCAAUUGCAGAAGCGUGCUUGACUGUGAGACAGACAAGUCGAACAGGGACGAAAGUCGGGAAUAGUGAUCCGGCGGUGCCGAAUGGAAGGGCCGUCGCUCAACGGAUAAAAGCUACCCUGGGGAUA
rnacentral:rRNA from 1 species